rnacentral:rRNA from 1 species
ACCUACGGGACGCAGCAGUGGGGAAUCUUGCGCAAUGGCCGAAAGGCUGACGCAGCGACGCCGCGUGUGGGAGGAAGCUCUUCGGGGUGUAAACCACUGUUGCCCGGGACGAACAGCACUAUUCGUAGUGCCUGACGGUACCGGGUGAGGAAGCACCGGCUAACUCUGUGCCAGCAGCCGCGGUAAUACAGAGGGUGCGAGCGUUGUCCGGAAUCACUGGGCGUAAAGGGCGCGUAGGUGGUGGCUUAAGCGUGCGGUGAAAGCUCGGAGCUCAACUCCGAGUCGGCCGUGCGAACUGGGCUCACUGGAGCAUAGUAGAGGCAGGUGGAAUUCCGGGUGUAGCGGUGGAAUGCGUAGAGAUCCGGAAGAACACCGGUGGCGAAGGCGGCCUGCUGGGCUAUGGCUGACACUGAGGCGCGACAGCGUGGGGAGCAAACAGGAUUAGAUACCCCCGUAGUCCC